ACUGCUCAGUAACACGUGGACAACCUACCCUUGGGUCUGGCAUAAUCCUGGGAAACUGGGUAUAAUUCCGGAUAGGUCACAGAUGCUGGAAUGCACUGUGGCCGAAAGCUCCGGCGCCCAAGGAUGGGUCUGCGGCCUAUCAGGGUUGUAGUGGGUGUAACGGACCUACUAGCCUACGACGGGUACGGGUUGUGAGAGCAAGAGCCCGGAGAUGGAUUCUGAGACACGAAUCCAGGCCCUACGGGGUGCAGCAGGCGCGAAAACUUUACAAUGCUGGCAACAGCGAUAAGGGAACCUCGAGUGCCAGGUUACAAAUCUGGCUGUCGAGAUGCCUAAAAAGCAUUUCAUAGCAAGGGCCGGGCAAGACCGGUGCCAGCCGCCGCGGUAACACCGGCGGCUCGAGUGGUAACCGUUAUUAUUGGGUCUAAAGGGUCUGUAGCCGGCCGGAUAAGUCUCUUGAGAAAUCUGGCAGCUUAACUGUCAGGCUUUCAGGAGAUACUGUCUGGCUCGAGGCCGGGAGAGGUGAGAGGUACUUCAGGGGUAGGGGUGAAAUCUUGUAAUCCUUGAAGGACCACCAGUGGCGAAGGCGUCUCACCAGAACGGACCUGACGGCAAGGGACGAAAGCUAGGGGCACGAACCGGAUUAGAUACCCGGGUAGUCCUAGCCGUAAACGAUACUCGCUAGGUGUCGGCCACGGUGCGACCGUUGUCGGUGCCGUAGGGAAGCCGUGAAGCGAGCCACCUGGGAAGUACGGCCGCAAGGCUGAAACUUAAAGGAAUUGGCGGGGGAGCAC
rnacentral:rRNA from 2 species